CAAUAGGUNCGUAGGUGACCUGCGGAAGGAUCAUU
rnacentral:rRNA from 1 species